rnacentral:rRNA from 1 species
CCUACGGGAGGCAGCAGUGAGGAAUAUUGGUCAAUGGCCGAGAGGCUGAACCAGCCAAGCCGCGUGAGGGAAGAAUGCCCAGUGGAUCGUAAACCUCUUUUGCCAGGGAGCAAAGUGCCGCACGCGUCCGUUCCUGAGAGUACCCGAAGAAAAAGCAUCGGCUAACUCCGUGCCAGCAGCCGCGGUAAUACGGAGGAUGCGAGCGUUAUCCGGAUUCAUUGGGUUUAAAGGGUGCGCAGGCGGGUUUUUAAGCCGGCGGUAAAAUCGUGGGGCUCAACCCCAGCGAGCCGUUGAAACUGAUGGUCUUGAGUGCGGGAGAGGUAUGCGGAAUGCGUGGUGUAGCGGUGAAAUGCAUAGAUAUCGCGCAGAACUCCGAUUGCGAAGGCAGCGUGCCGGGGCGCGACUGACGCUGAGGCACGAAAGCGCGGGGAUCGAACAGGAUUAGAUACCCGAGUAGUC